CCUACGGGGGGCAGCAGUGGGGAAUAUUGCGCAAUGGGGGAAACCCUGACGCAGCCAUGCCGCGUGAGUGAAGAAGGCCUUCGGGUUGUAAAGCUCUUUCGGGUGUGAAGAUGAUGACGGUAGCACCAGAAGAAGCCCCGGCUAACUUCGUGCCAGCAGCCGCGGUAAUACGAAGGGGGCAAGCGUUGUUCGGAAUCACUGGGCGUAAAGAGCGCGUAGGCGGUCAGAUCAGUCAGAGGUGAAAGCCCAGGGCUCAACCCUGGAAAUGCCUUUGA
rnacentral:rRNA from 1 species